rnacentral:rRNA from 1 species
UACGGAGGGUGCAAGCGUUGCUCGGAAUUAUUGGGCGUAAAGGGCAGGUAGGCUGUCUCAUUUGUCUGGGGUGAAAGCCUUGAGCUUAACUCAAGAAGUGCCCCAGAAACGGUGAGACUAGAGCCCUGGAGAGGGUCGUGGAAUUCCCGGUGUAGCGGUGAAAUGCGUAGAGAUCGGGAGGAACACCAGAGGCGAAGGCGGCGUCCUGGACAGGCACUGACACUCAACUACGAAAGCGUGGGGAGCAAACAGG